UACGUAGGGUGCAAGCGUUAAUCGGAAUUACUGGGCGUAAAGCGUGCGCAGGCGGUUUUGUAAGUUUGUCGUGAAAUCCCCGGGCUCAACCUGGGAAUGGCGAUGAAGACUGCAAGGCUAGAAUCUGGCAGAGGGGGGUAGAAUUCCACGUGUGAGCAGUGAAAUGCGUAGAGAUGUGGAGGAACACCGAUGGCGAAGGCAGCCCCCUGGGUCAAGAUUGACGCUCAUGCACGAAAGGCGUGG
rnacentral:rRNA from 1 species